rnacentral:rRNA from 1 species
UGGGGAAUUUUGGACAAUGGGCGAAAGCCUGAUCCAGCAAUGCCGCGUGUGUGAAGAAGGCCUUCGGGUUGUAAAGCACUUUUGUCCGGAAAGAAAUCCUCUGGGUUAAUACCUCGGGGGGAUGACGGUACCGGAAGAAUAAGCACCGGCUAACUACGUGCCAGCAGCCGCGGUAAUACGUAGGGUGCAAGCGUUAAUCGGAAUUACUGGGCGUAAAGCGUGCGCAGGCGGUUUUGUAAGACGGAUGUGAAAUCCCCGGGCUUAACCUGGGAACUGCAUUCGUGACUGCAAGGCUAGAGUAUGGCAGAGGGGGGUAGAAUUCCACGUGUAGCAGUGAAAUGCGUAGAGAUGUGGAGGAAUACCGAUGGCGAAGGCAGCCCCCUGGGCCAAUACUGACGCUCAUGCACGAAAGCGUGGGGAGCAAACAGGAUUAGAUACCCUGGUAGUCCACGCCCUAAACGAUGUCAACUAGUUGUUGGGGAUUCAUUUCCUUAGUAACGUAGCUAACGCGUGAAGUUGACCGCCUGGGGGAGUACGGUCGCAAGAUUAAAACUUAAAGGAAUUGACGGGGUCAUAGCUGUUUCCU